rnacentral:rRNA from 1 species
GAUGAACGCUAGCUACAGGCUUAACACAUGCAAGUCGAGGGACCGGCGCACGGGUGAGUAACACGUAUCCCACCUGCCCUUUACUCGGGGCUAGCCUUUCGAAAGAAAGAUUAAUACCCGAUGUAAAGGAUGGGGAUGCGUUCCAUUAGGUUGUGGGUGAGGUAACGGCUCACCAAGCCUUCGAUGGAUAGGGGUUCUGAGAGGAAGGUCCCCCACAUUGGAACAUGGACACGGUCCAAACUCCUACGGGAGGCAGCAGUGAGGAAUAUUGGGCAAUGGGCGUGAGCCUGAACCAGCCAAGUAGCGUGAAGGAUGAAGGCUGAUGGGUCGUAAACUUCUUUUAUAUAAGAAUAUGUAUUAUAUGAAUAAGGAUCGGCUAACUCCGUGCCAGCCGCCGCGGUAAUUC